GAUGAACGCUGGCGGCGUGCCUAAUACAUGCAAGUCGAGCGAACAGAUGAGAAGCUUGCUUCUCUGAUGUUAGCGGCGGACGGGUGAGUAACACGUGGGUAACCUACCUAUAAGACUGGGAUAACUCCGGGAAACCGGGGCUAAUACCGGAUAAUAUUUUGAACCGCAUGGUUCAAUAGUGAAAGACGGUUUCGGCUGUCACUUAUAGAUGGACCCGCGCCGUAUUAGCUAGUUGGUAAGGUAAUGGCUUACCAAGGCGACGAUACGUAGCCGACCUGAGAGGGUGAUCGGACACACUGGAACUGAGACACGGUCCAGACUCCUACGGGAGGCAGCAGUAGGGAAUCUUCCGCAAUGGGCGAAAGCCUGACGGAGCAACGCCGCGUGAGUGAUGAAGGUCUUCGGAUCGUAAAACUCUGUUGUUAGGGAAGAACAAAUUUGUUAGUAACUGAACAAGUCUUGACGGUACCUAACCAGAAAGCCACGGCUAACUACGUGCCAGCAACCGCCGUAA
rnacentral:rRNA from 1 species